UCGUGUUGAGGUAGUAGGUUGUAUGGUUUAGAAUAACACCAUCAGGAGAUAACUGUACAGCCUCCUAGCUUUCCCUG
rnacentral:pre_miRNA from 1 species